rnacentral:lncRNA from 1 species
AUUGUGUUGCUCCUCAAAGGAAAGUUGUUCAAUGGCUCCCAGUAGCUUUUAAGUAAAUUUAAACUAGUUAGCACACAAAACCAUCCCAACCUGGAUCUCCAGCCUUUUCUUAUCUCUAUAUCCCACCAUAUCUUUUUUUUUUUUUUUUUUUUUUGAGACAGAGUCUUGCUCUGUCGCUCAGGCUGGAGUACAGUGGCGUGAUUUCGGCUCACUGCAACCUCCGCCUCCUUGGUUCAAGUGAUUCUCCUGCCUCAGCCUCCCGAGUAGCUGAGACUACAGGUGCCCACCACCACGCGCAGCUAAUUUUUGUAUUUUUAGUAGAGACGGGGUUUCAUCAUGAUGGCCAGGAUGGUCUCGAUCUCCUGACCUCAUGAUCUGCCUGCCUCAGCCUCCCAAAGUUCUGGGAUUACAGGUGUAAGCCACCACGCCCACCUACCCCACUAUAUCUUGUCCUCUAGCUAAGCAGAUUUCUUAAACAAAUUCUGCAUUUUUCAUGUUCUUUUUUAUUUUUAUUAAGCUAGAGAUGAGGUCUCACUAUGUUGCCCAGGUUGGUCUUGAACUCCUGGGCUGAAGUGAUCCUCCCACCUCAGCCUCCCAAAGUGCUAGGAUUACAGGCAUGAGCUACAGUGCUCAGCCUUUCAUGUUCUUUUUGGACUUUACUACCUUUGUUUUCUCGGCCUAGAAUGUUCUUUGUCUUAUUUGCCUGAUUUUUCUUCUCUUACUUUUCCUACUUAGCAUCACCUUUUACAUGGUUGAGUUAGAUUUCUCUUUCCUGUAUUUCUGUUAGAGCCUUUCUUAUAUGAGUCAUUCAUUUAAAAAUGGACAAUUAACUUUCUAAGCUUCAAUAGCCUCGUCUGGAAAAUGGAGUUAAUAACUCAGUCAAAGCUCCCUUAUCUGAUUUCCACUUACCUGAGUCUUCAGAUGGAUCCUCCCAGUUCCCUGUGAAAAGCUUGAUGACCAGCAUCCACAUCACGCUGAAUGCUCUCAACCAUGCUUGUGCACAACUCUUGCCAGUCAAUUGUGUAACAUAAUUUAUCUUACUUGUUAUUGUAAUUAAAUGCAUGGACUAAAUAUGUUAAAUUAUGAAAUAUGAAUACAAAAGAAGGAUUACUUCUGUGAAAAUUAAACUGAAUGACUUGGAAUAACAAUAAAAAAAGUUGCUAAAAAUAAUUGCUGUUGGUGAAAUAACAAAGACUAAAAAAGUAACAAAAAAUUUAGAAAGAUUCAGCAUUAUUUCUUAGUGUUUUAAUUCAUGCUCCACUUUAAAGAAACCAAAACUGGAAAUCAGAGGUGAUGGGUUUGGUUUAUGCAGAAAAAAAAACGGUAUUGCAAUCAGUAGACUCAUACUCAAGGAAAAGGCCUUGGCCCUACAUAAAAAGUGAACAAGU